AUUGAACGCUGGCGGCAUGCUUUACACAUGCAAGUCGAACGGCAGCGCGGGCUUCGGCCUGGCGGCGAGUGGCGAACGGGUGAGUAAUAUAUCGGAACGUACCCAAGAGUGGGGGAUAACGUAGCGAAAGUUACGCUAAUACCGCAUACGAUCUAAGGAUGAAAGCAGGGGAUCGCAAGACCUUGUGCUCCUGGAGCGGCCGAUAUCUGAUUAGCUAGUUGGUGGGGUAAAGGCCCACCAAGGCAACGAUCAGUAGCUGGUCUGAGAGGACGACCAGCCACACUGGAACUGAGACACGGUCCAGACUCCUACGGGAGGCAGCAGUGGGGAAUUUUGGACAAUGGGGGCAACCCUGAUCCAGCAAUGCCGCGUGAGUGAAGAAGGCCUUCGGUUGUAAGGCUCUUUUGUUCAGGGAAGAAACGGUAGGAUUCUAAUACAGAUUGCUAAUGACGGUACCUGAAGAAUAAG
rnacentral:rRNA from 1 species